CCUACGGGAGGCAGCAGUGGGGAAUAUUGCACAAUGGAGGGAACUCUGAUGCAGCGACGCCGCGUGAGUGAAGAAGUAAUUCGUUAUGUAAAGCUCUAUCAGCAGGGAAGAAAGUGACGGUACCUGAAAAAGAAGCUCCGGCUAAAUACGUGCCAGCAGCCGCGGUAAUACGUAUGGAGCAAGCGUUAUCCGGAUUUACUGGGUGUAAAGGGAGAGUAGGUGGCAGAGCAAGUCCGAAGUGAAAACCCAAAGCUCAACUAUGGGAAUGCUUUAGAAACUGCUCAGCUAGAGUGCAGGAGAGGCAAGUGGAAUUCUUAGUGUAGCGGUGAAAUGCGUAGAUAUCUGGAGGAACAUCAGUGGCGAAGGCGACUAUCUGGCACAUAACUGACGCUGAGGAGCGAAAGCGUGGGUAGCAAACAGGAUUAGAUACCCGAGUAGUC
rnacentral:rRNA from 1 species